GAAUGUUGGGAACCGAUCUGAUUCCAAGGAUUGAGAAGUUUUGCAGUGGUCAACUGGUAUAGACAUCCCAUUACCACUACUUCCUUCAUUGGACUGCAAGGUAUUUCUGUUUGGAAAAGUAAUGGAGUCCAGUCAACUUCAUUGAUCGCCAAGGACUGUCAAAAUUAUAAAACUUGCUGUGGAGCUCUGACAUGCCAGAAGCCGCUAGAAAAAGAAGUUUGACAUUCAGAAACUUAUCAAGAGGUUCUACUCUUUGGAUAGAGACCAAAAUCAUACUUUGAAAAAGCCUGACAGGUUUCUUCGGAAAAGUGGCCAUCCAUGGAAUGAAUGAAAUGUUCUCUUUCUAUUCCAGGGAUUGCAGUGGCAAAGCUAGGCUAGGUCUUGGAGGCUGGUGUAAGGCGAUGUGGGUGAAGGCAGGAGGCUGAUGGAAAGACUGGGGGGAAGAAAAGCCGAAAUGGAUUCACGGUGCCUUGGAUGAAGGACGAGAGGGGAACUGCAAGCUCCUUCAACUGGUUCUGUCCGGUGAGAAGUGAUCAAGCUUGGGCUGACAAGAGGCUCAGGGAGCCCUCACGUUCUUUCGCUUUUUUACCUGCCAAUCAAACUGCUACAAGACAACACCCUGAUCUGGCAUGGACAUCGCGGGUCCAAGCCUGUAGCCCCAAAUCGGAUAAUCUCUGCAGCUGAUAACAAGCAAAAGAGAAGCCAGGCAACAGCCAUAUUAAAGAAGAAAACAAUCAACUCUGAGACACAGCCCAGGCAGACAGAAGGAAACGGAGCAUUAAUCCAACUGCAGUCACCCCAAAGUACAGGCCAUUUGGAUCCAGAAGAGAAACUGGUUCCUUCUACAAGCUCUCCCGUUCUCCCUGGGGCCCUUCACAGCCUCCUUGUCUACGUUGUGGCUGUGCUUUCCCUGAUCCAACUUAGAAAUAAUGUUUCAUUCAAGAUAAGGCUCGUGGCUUAGGAGAUUGUGACCUGGCUUGCAUCAUUCUAAGACUUCUAUCGUCUGUUUUCAAAACCCAAGGAGGACCUCCUUUUCUGUGUGAUAGUUCCUCAUGCUUUGCCAGCCACUGGGUCUUUAAGGAAGCUUGCCAAGAGUUCCCGGCUGGGAAGGACAGUUCGAGUUCAUCAUAGACAAUGAGCUGGCACCACAGUUUAAGUGACUCACCAACCUGGUUGCCCACUUCAAAAUGUCAAGAACCACACUAUCUAAUUGAAAGAACUGUGUUUUAGCAAAGUGUAAUUGGAUCGCCUGGCAAGAUCAUCUCAAACUAUGUCUCUGACCUUGCCUUUCAGUGGCUAUUUUGAGCACAAGAGGAGAAAGGAAAUGAUUCCUGAAUUAUAUCUUGUUUUUAAAAAUUAAGAUUAAUUAAUACUUGGUUUUAUGUUCAUUCCAUUGUAGGAACUUAGUGAUUAUUACAAAACAGUCAAAAUAGGUCAUAGCAAAAUGAACGUUUAAGAUUAGGUUAAAACAUUCCUCUGAAAUUUUAGUAUUCACUUUUGAAGUGUCAAUUACUAUAUUUCUGUAAUUUCUCAUUUUUUUCUUGGCUUAGAGUCAAGAUGAAAAAUGAUAUUUGAAUCAAAGACAUUGUUUUGUUAUAUAGCCACUCCUUUCUAAAAUGCAAAUCCACCCUCCCCUCACCAAUGCUUUAUUCUUUGUGCGCGCACACACACACACACACACACACACACACACACACACACACAGACAUACACAGAACCAGCACCCAAAUGGUAGAGGAGGUCCUUCCAAGACUUCUAGGACCUGGAUCAUGUAAGCAGUAGAUGAGAAAAUGAAGUAAGAGAUAUAGAGUAAUAACAAUAAAAGUCAAUGAUUUCAUUUUACAAAAAAGUCAUUGUGUAGUACUCAGAUAUUUUUAAGAGCAAGUAUUAUUAUGACUAAAGUAUAUUAUACUUCUAAAUUAUUAUGAUUCUCAUCUAAUUUCAAGCCACACAUAGGCGCCAUUUGAAAGCAUUUUGUGUUACAACCUAUCAACAAAAAUCAACUAAUAGUUUUAUAACGUGCAUAGGUUUACCCCAUGGGGAAUUAAAAUUUUUAUCUGCAAGUAUUUCUGUUGUUGUGAGACUUUAGGACAAGACAACAUUUGGUGUUAACAUAGAAGAAUAUUCUAUGGCUUUUUUAGCUUUAAAGUUCAUUACUCUAAAAUAAAGUACACGUGGUAUUUUUUUCUUCCUAGUGUUCUCUUAUUAUAUGUAGAGUAUUUUCGGUUGUUGUUUUUAACGUAUACAUUAUUUUUAUUAAGUCAUUUCAUAAAAGAUAAGAUAUAUACUAAUAGACCCUUGGUUUUCUCCUAAUUUAAUUAUUUCAAGUCAAGCAAAAUUGGGCAAUUUUCUUUCAGGAAAAAAAAAAUAUUGAGCAUGAUUUUGAGGUAAAACUGAUUAUUUACAGCAUCUUUUCUCUAAUAGGCUAACAUUUAUGAUGGAUCUUAUUUCAAAGUUGAUUAUUCUCAAAGAAAAGUGGAGAUAUUAGAAUUUCCGAGUAAAUUGCAUUGUUUUAAAAAGUACUUUAAUGCAUUGUUCACAUUGUUGCCAGCUAUUGACCAAAAAAGAGAAGAAGAAAAAAGAAAUAAAAAAAGCAGUAUCUGCUCCAAACGUCAAGUUUUGCAGUUUGAAAGACUUGUACAUUAUAAUUGUUUUUUUCUUUUUUGGAAAGCAGUAGUAAUUAAUACCAAAGGCAUAGACAAUUUAGGGCCAUAACCUCCCUUCCCCCCUCUCCACCUUUUUUUUUUUUUUUUUUUUUUUUUAACUUUAACCAUGAUAGGCAUCUCUGCAAGGUAGGUUUUAACAUAUUUUUUUCCUAAUUUUUUUCCCUCCAUUCAGUAAGAAGGAUAAGCUUUUAGAGUACCCAGUCACCGUGGUAACUGCCAAAAAAAUUCUCCUGAAGUUUGAAGAGGUCAGCUAGCAGGGUCAACAACCCUGGCCUCUCUCUGAGCUCGGUCUAGCAUGCCCCAGCCUGCGGUUGGAGUGUCAGGCCAGAUCUGACCCUGGGAGGUGGACCAUUCUGGCUCUGAUAUAAAUUUUUCGAGUCAGUUCAUGGCCUGGACUCUCCAGGUGGCCUCCAAAAUCGAUUUUGACCCCCUGACCCUGUCUCACGGAGGCAUAGCAUCCACCCUAAGUAAGGAUUUAGCCAGGAAUGACAGCUUUCCACUGAGUGUUAUUGGGGACAGUAUAAACAGUUUGGAAAGCAAGUAAGGAGGUGUGAGGGCUAGCAAUCAUUAAAAGCACAUUAAAAAACAAUUUUUAAAAAUCUUUAUUAGAGAAAGUUGUAAAUGCAUAUCUGUUACAGAAUUCCUGUGAUUUGUAGAGUUUUCUAGUCAGUUUUGAAUAUAAAUAGGUCACAUAUCUUUAUCUUUUUGCAUACUUUGUUACAAAUAUGCAAAUAAGAUAGGCAUACUUGCUACAAAAUAGGUACAGCAGGAAUGUAAUAUGUUCAGAAAAGGCAAACUGGUUAUUAAAACACAUUAACAGGUAAGGAGUUUCUAAUAUUUUAAAUACUAAAAUUUUACAUGUGUAUUUUGAAGUUUUUAAAAUGGAAAAAUAAAGAACCUUUAAAAAACCCAACAGUGUGGAAUAAAGAUAAACUUGUUGCACUCAAGGUACAUUUCUACUUUGUAAAGCAAGAAGCCAAUACACUCAGUUGGAUAAAAAUGAGAGAAAAAUUGUAAAUAUAGAGAGUUACAGCUUAUAGAGCUGAAGAGGAAUAAAACAAAAAAAAGUGUCUCUGAAUAACUUUAUGUAUUUUCAACAGUUUAAGAUAUCAGAAACUUGGAAAAUAAAUAUGAUAUAUAUAUAAAUCAUCA
rnacentral:lncRNA from 1 species